AACGAACGCUGGCGGCAGGCUUAACACAUGCAAGUCGAACGCCCCGCAAGGGGAGUGGCGCACGGGUGAGUAACGCGUGGAUAUCUGCCUUUUGGUUCGGAAUAACCCCGGGAAACUGGGGCUAAUACCGGAUGGUUCCUACGGGAUAAAGAUUUAUCGCCAAAAGAUGUGUCCGCGUACGAUUAGCUAGUUGGUGAGGUAAUGGCUCACCAAGGCGACGAUCGUUAGCUGGUCUGAGAGGACGAUCAGCCACACUGGGACUGAGACACGGCCCAGACUCCUACGGGAGACAGCAGUGGGGAAUAUUGGACAAUGGGGGCAACCCUGAUCCAGCCAUGCCGCGUGAGUGAUGAAGGCCUUCGGGUUGUAAAGCUCUUUUGGCGGGGACGAUGAUGACGGUACCCGCAGAAUAAGCCCCGGCUAACUUCGUGCCAGCCGCCGCCGUAA
rnacentral:rRNA from 1 species